rnacentral:lncRNA from 1 species
GCGGAGCAAGGCCACGUGACCCUGCUCAGACCGCAAAAUGUGCCGGACAGAUUUAAACAGUGCCAUCUUAAGGCUUGUUAUGUAACUGAAAAACAGAUCAGAAGGAAGGACCUCAGGAGGGAGGGAGAGGGAAGGAGCGGAGAUUGGGGAAUGAAAAACACCCGGAGAAAGGCCAGGGGCUGGGCCCCUCCCUAUCCCCCACUGCAGGCCUCAAUGGGUUGGGGUAGCCGCUGGGGUGCUGCACUGAGGGGGCCUGCCCUGCUCUGCUCCCUGCCAGUUGGUUUAGAGGAGGGGGUGGUUGCUGACCGGGCAGGAUGUCUUCUAGAAAUAAUUUUUGGCCUGGGGAACUGGUUUCUUUCUGGGCUUCCUGGCAGGACCACGGCUGCUCACCCAGGGAUUGACCAAGGGGUGUGUGUUCCUGGGCUCUGGGCCUGCUACUGUGCCCAUUGCUGGCCAGGAAUGUUUUGCCUGGAGUCAGUCACACCAUACCCAGGGUGCCACAGUAUAUAGAUGGGCUAUGGGGGUUGGCGCUUACGGGAGAAGUGGCCGGUGGGGAGGGAGAAGGUGGGCCUUGUGGAAAGGGAGGCCACCAGGCCUGGAACCUGAGCUGUGAGGACACUUACUCACCUGAGAGUGUGGCGGCAUCCUAGAGCAGUCACCUUGGGGAGCCCUGGCGCCCAGAGUACUCCCAGCUCCUUGCUGCCCUGCCCUCUCAGCAGAGCUCCAGGCAGAGUCCCUGCUCCAAGGAAGGGCCUUGGAGGUGGGGAGCUGCCCAGCCUCACACCCAAGAGGCAUUGGUGGGUCAGAGGCACAUCUGGCCUGGAGGGAAGUGUGUGGGCACCAGGGCCUGGCUGUCGGGUGGGGAGAGGCAGGAGCAGAGCCUGGGAUUGAGCGAGGAGAGGCUCUGAGCCCCGCCCCAUCCUGGAAUCAGGUCGGUUACUCUCAGGGUAGCUAGCCUCGUUCCUCCUCUGCAGCCACCCCUGCUCCUUGGGUUGACUUGGCUUGGCGGCUGUCCCCAUUCCCUUCUCAUGCCCACCACGCAGCCCAGUGUUGAUGCAGCAGCCCACCAGGCACUGCCCCCCACCCCCAUCUCCCCAAGGAUGCCAGCACAUGGGCGUGACAGCAGGCCAGACCUGGAGCAUGAAGAGCUUGGGUCAGCUCUUUACAGACUGGCCCUGUGCCUUGGGGCAAAGUACUUGACCUGGGAAGCUACCCGCUCUGCGUCUCCAGAAUGGAGACCGGAGCCUGCCCUGGCCACGCAUCACAGAGCUUGGUGGGGACCGAACUCAACUCAGACACCGAUAAGCACUUCACGCAGGUGCAGAUGUCAGGACUGUGUCUUCCGCAGGUCAGAAAGACAACCGCCCUGGAGACAAGUUCCAGCUCACAUUCCCACUGCGGACCAACUAUAUGUAUGCCAAGGUGAAGAAGAGCCUGCCAGAGAUGUACGCCUUCACUGUCUGCAUGUGGCUCAAGUCCAGCGCCACGCCAGGUGUGGGCACGCCCUUCUCCUACGCUGUGCCCGGCCAGGCCAACGAGCUGGUCCUCAUUGAGUGGGGCAACAACCCCAUGGAGAUCCUCAUCAAUGACAAGGUAGAGCAGCCCCCGGGCUCACAGGGCGGCAGGGCGAGGCCCCAGGGCCCCAGCUCAUGUUGCAUGCGGAGACAGGGCUAUGGUGGCCUCAGAUGUUGAUGGGGCCCCAAGGAAAGUGUUUGCCAGGUGGGACUGAGGGAGGGGGAGGGUGAAGACCAGGAGAAGUGGUAGGAGCCCCCUCACCUGUACUGGGAGAGCAGGGAGAGCUGGACCUUCCCGGAUGCCUCCUGGGGUGGGUACGGGAGAUGGCGGAGAACGAGCCAUGGGGCCUGGCCCUGCCCGAUGAUGUGAUCUGGACUCCUCCACCAGCUGGCCUUGGAACUGGCUUUGCCCCUCCAUAGCAGGGACCCAGAGAUGCUCUAGCGGGGUGAGGGGUCCUUAGAGAUUUUUCCUGAGUCCAAGUCUAUCCCACUCAGCCCCCUAACUCUCGGGAGGAGGACAGGUCUGUGUGAUCCCUUGGAACAGGACAGCACAGGCAGCCUUUCCCUCUAGUGAACAUUCUCCAUCCUCCCCUGUUAGCUAUGGAACUAGCUGCCAGCUUUCAAACUGUCUCAAGUCCAGGCCAGCAGUGGUAGUCAAUGGCUAAAACCUGGGCUGGGAAGUGGAUUCCACGCCCUUGUUCCUGUUGCUCUUCCCCACAAAGGGCUGUGCCAUUCUGGGCCCCCUUUCCCCAAGCGGAAAGGGUGUGAAGUUUCUUUCCUCACUGUCUGCUGGACCGUCAUCCUCCCGACCUGGAAUGGCAGUGGGAGAGUGAAAUUCCAGGUUGGAGGCUGGUCUGAGCUUUAAAAGGCAUCGUGCUCCAUGACAUCUCUCAGAUCCUCGGCAAAAGCUUGCCGUGUUGUAGAGUGAGAGGGUGUAACAGCUAGAGAUGGGACAUCGGAAGAGAGAGGAGAGGCCAGCAAGGAGGCUGCACAGAUGUCGCACGGAGCCUUGAGAGGCAGCAGUGAACUCAGACACCAGGGACGGCUCUCCCUGGUGUAGACUAGGGCUUGUUGUGUAGACUAGCAAAGAGGGAGGAGGGUGAGUAGGAGUGAAGAGACUGCACACCCACAUGGCCCUUGGGGGUUCCCUCGGUAGAGCCUUACAUUUCCUGUGUGAUUCUGUGCCCCACGCCCAGGCGGGGCUGACAGACGCUGAAGUCUGGGGCAGUAGGUGCUGUGAGAAUUCAGUAAUAGUUAUUGACAUUUACUUUGCAAGUAGAGAUAGGAACAACUGAGGCAGUGAACUGUCUCUGAAGGGUGAAGGCAGGCCGUCCUGGGAUGGUACCCUGUGCUCUCCCGUGGAGGAGAGGGGAUGGCUGAGGACACUGGCCCUUACCCCAGGGCCAGACAGCAUCCAUCCCUGCUGUUUGCAUCUGAGAGCAGCAUGGGGCCUGGGAGGUCGGCCUGUGUGCCCAGCUCAGCUAGCUCUGCCCCAGGACGGCCCUGCCCUCGACCUUCCCACCUCCUCAGAUCCUGCAAGGCUGGGGUCUGCCCCUCCCUUCUCACCUCUGGAGCUGUGCUGCACUGCUUCAGCCCAGAGGGCCCUGAGAGAGGAGCGUGCCACCCACAGCCCGGGAAGCCGGGCCCCAGCACCCCUCUCCUUUGGCCUCCGGCAGUGCAGACCAGAGGGGACCUUUUAAGGAAAGAAGCCGUGUUUCGAUGAAGACCUGGCCACAUGGGGCCACUGGGACUUCAACCCAGCCCAUCGGUGGGAAGGUCCUUUUUGGGGGACUUUGACAGCCAUAUCCCUCCCAGCACACCAGGCGCCAGGUGAGCUGGUUCAGACCCCUCCAGGGGUACUCCAGAGACCUCACGUGUGGAGCCAGGCCUGGCCAGGGCAGGGGCCUGAAACCCACUCCUCCAUCUCAUGGGGCUCACGGCCUACAGCAGCCCACAAGCUGCCACUGGCCGGCGACACUGACACCUGAGCAGUGUCCAGAACCUUUUUGCCUUUUUUUGUUCCCCGUGAAAAGCAACAUGGACAUUUCCUUCUAGUCCUUCCAAGGAGGGGAGAGAAGUGUAUGUGCAUUUGUGUGUGUGUGUGUGUGUUGUGUGUGUGUGUGCGCUAAGUGAGAAAGAGAGCAGGCUCGGGAGGCCCUGCCCAGGGUAGGAGGAGCUUCCUGCUUUGCACCAUCUGGUGGUCGCACGCCCUGAGGGCACCCCGACUCUGUCUCCAGGAGUCUCAUCAGCAAACCGCUGACAAGUCUUUCUAGAAAUUCUACUGCACUGCCUGGCUCAGCUGCAGCUGCAGACAUUUCUGCAGGAGGAGCAGGUGUUUCUGUCUUCUGUUCCUUCUAGGGCCACCUGUCCCCUUAAACACAGGUCCACGUUGUGUCAAGAACCUAGUGCAUCUGUGUGUGUCUGUCAGUGUCUCUGUGUCAGUGUUCUCGUGGGUGUCUGCACGGUACCCGGCCGCCGUUCUGCAAUGCAUCACUCCCGCAGAGGGGGGUGCAGAUCAGGCGCCGUGCUGCGCGUUGUUGUUCAACAGUGGCUUUUUCUUAGAUAAUCGUGCUUCCUCAGCGCCCGUCGGGUUGUGGCAUCCUUGGAUCUGCAGGGAUCUUCUCCGUUUGCAUGUUCCUCGGGGUGGCGUGUUCCUUGCUCCCUGGGUCCGACAUGUGUUCCCGCACCUGCAUGGACUGCCCCGGUUCUGUGUUGUGUGCCGAGUGCCGCCCAGUGUUCUGUGACCACCCGUGUAGCUACUGAAAAUGGCUGGGUAAGCAAGUCAAGGGUGUUGGAGGAGGUCAAGAGAGAGCUCAGUUUCCCUCUCCCCCUCCCCAAACACACCAAGAAGCAUUUUUAACGUGUAGGUUGAGAACAAGCCUAAAGGAUUCCCACAGCUGGGAGCCAGCAAGAGAGCUUGGAGUCGCCUCUCUAGACCAGAUCUAGCCCCACCCUCACUCCAGCCAUCUCGGAGCCCUUGUGUAGGCAACGCCCGGUGCGGGCUGUGUGGGGUGCUCCCCUGCCAGCACCUCCGGCCAGCCCCGCCCCUGCCGAUCUACUGGACCGCAGACCACCUUCUGCCCCCGUGGGCCAGGUGGGAGCUGUCCGUUCAGGACCAUGAGCCAUCCUCUGCCCUGACUAGCGAGGGGCAGAGCACACCCCAGUGCUUACGCCUCCACCCCUGCAGCCUCCUGGCCCGCUCACCUUCCUCACCCCUCCUCUGACCCACCCAUGGUGCCAGGGCCGAAGCUGACCUUUAGCUCCCUCCUGCCCCUUGCUAGGGUCUGAGCCAAGCCCCUCGACUCCCUCACUGUGUUGACACUUGGCACUUUGCUGGCCCCGAGAAAGGUCGAUGACACAGCCGCAAAUCUAAUCCACGUAGUUCCCAUUUACUCCUUAAUCUGAUUGAUGUUCCCUCUUGCACUGAAUAAUACAUGCCUCUCUCAGGUAAGCCAUUUUAUAAAACAAGAAGAUAAAAAGCACUGUUGAGGCAGUGUUUGCUUUUGCCGAGCUGGUGUCCGACAGCUCCCUGGGUGUCCGGGGUGGGAGAGCUGUUGACAGAAGCUCUCCGGGCCCUCAGGGGCUUAGAUCCCACUUGAGUCGUAAGCCUUCUUGCUUUUGAUAACACAGUAUUAUUUCUCUUACUGUAGAAGAAAAAGUUUAUUACCAAACAAGAGUAUUUUUAUGAAAGAAAAGGACAAACCUAUAAAUUAACUCAACCUAUAUCUCCCUUGAAAAUACUUUCAGGCUCCACCAAAACGUAGAACUGAAAGCAUGUAUUUUGGAAGAAAGAGAUACAUUUUGUAUGCUUUCUUUUCCUUUUGUAGAUUCCCAGUUUAUUUUCUAAGACUGCAAAGAUCACUUUGUCACCAGCCCUGGGACCUGAGACCAAGGGGGUGUCUUGUGGGCAGUGAGGGGGUGAGGAGAGGCUGGCAUGAGGUUCAGUCAUUCCAGUGAGCUCCAAAGAGGGGCCACCUGUUCUCAAAAGCAUGUUGGGGACCAGGAGGUAAAACUGGCCAUUUAUGGUGAACCUGUGUCUUGGAGCUGACUUACUAAGUGGAAUGAGCCGAGGAUUUGAAUAUCAGUUCUAACCUUGAUAGAAGAACCUUGGGUUACAUGUGGUUCACAUUAAGAGGAUAGAAUCCUUUGGAAUCUUAUGGCAACCAAAUGUGGCUUGACGAAGUCGUGGUUUCAUCUCUUAAACACAGUGUGUAAAUUUAUUCAACUAACGAUGGGAAAUGUAUUACUUCUGUACACAGUGGACUGAAGUGCAAUUUGUUGAAAGGGAACAAGUCAUUGAAGAGAAAAAAAAAGCCCAAUACUUAGAGUCCCAAUUUUGUCUCAUUUGCCAAAAAAAAAAAAAAAAAAAAAGCAAACCCCCUAUGGUUGAUAUUGUUAUAAUGUAUAUACUGUAUAAUAUGAAAGAGAAUCGAUGUAUCUCACUUUUUCAUUAUUUGCUAACCAAAGCUGUACAUUUUUCAUAUGAUCUGCAGCCUUUUGGGUAUCAAAUGGGUCAAAACCAUGGGACCUGCCACCUCCCAUCAGCAAUUCUGGAAAUGCACUAUUUCUACUGGUAUUCUUGCUUUUUUUUUUUUUUUCAUUUUCUUGCUGAAAUGACAUGAAUUGUUGAGUUUAUUUUUACACAGUAAAGAGUGGAGAAAGA